UACGUAGGGUGCAAGCGUUAAUCGGAAUUACUGGGCGUAAAGCGUGCGCAGGCGGUUCGCUAAGACAGAUGUGAAAUCCCCGGGCUCAACCUGGGAACUGCAUCUGUGACUGCAUCGCUGGAGUACGGUAGAGGGGGAUGGAAUUCCGCGUGUAGCAGUGAAAUGCGUAGAUAUGCGGAGGAACACCGAUGGCGAAGGCAAUCCCCUGGACCUGUACUGACGCUCAUGCACGAAAGCGUGGGGAGCAAACAGG
rnacentral:rRNA from 1 species